rnacentral:rRNA from 1 species
CACGUAGGAGGCAAACGUUAUCCGGAUUUAUUGGGCGUAAAGCGCGUGUAGGUGGUUCUGUAAGUAGGGCGUGAAAGCUCCUGGCUCAACCGGGAGAGGCCGUUCUAUACUGCAGAGCUAGAGGAUGGUAGAGGGAGGUGGAAUUCCAGGUGUAGCGGUGGAAUGCGCAGAUAUCAGGAGGAAUACCGAAGGCGAAGGCAGUCUUCCAAGCCGUUAUUGACGCUCAACUGCGAAGGUGUGGGUAUCAAACAGGAUUAGAUACCCGCGUA